rnacentral:tRNA from 1 species
GGUAGAAUGGCUGAGUUAGGUGAUAGACUGUAAAUCUAUUUAGGAGGGCUAAUCCCUCUUCUACCA